rnacentral:rRNA from 1 species
AGCGAACGCUGGCGGCAGGCCUAACACAUGCAAGUCGAACGAACUCUUCGGAGUUGGUGGCGGACGGGUGAGUAACACGUGGGAACGUGCCUUUUGGUUCGGAAUAACUCAGGGAAACUUGUGCUAAUACCGAAUGUGCCCUUCGGGGGAAAGAUUUAUCGCCAUUAGAGCGGCCCGCGUCUGAUUAGCUAGUUGGUGAGGUAACGGCUCACCAAGGCGACGAUCAGUAGCUGGUCUGAGAGGAUGACCAGCCACACUGGGACUGAGACACGGCCCAGACUCCUACGGGAAGCAGCAGUGGGGAAUCUUGCGCAAUGGGCGAAAGCCUGACGCAGCCAUGCCGCGUGAAUGAUGAAGGUCUUAGGAUUGUAAAAUUCUUUCACCGGGGACGAUAAUGACGGUACCCGGAGAAGAAGCCCCGGCUAACUUCGUG